rnacentral:rRNA from 1 species
AUGAACGCUAGCGACAGGCUUAACACAUGCAAGUCGAGGGGCAGCACAGGUAGCAAUACCGGGUGGCGACCGGCGCACGGGUGAGUAACGCGUAUGCAACUUACCUAUCAGAGGGGGAUAACCCGGCGAAAGUCGGACUAAUACCGCAUGAAGCAGGGGCCCCGCAUGGGGAUAUUUGCUAAAGAUUCAUCGCUGAUAGAUAGGCAUGCGUUCCAUUAGGCAGUUGGCGGGGUAACGGCCCACCAAACCGACGAUGGAUAGGGGUUCUGAGAGGAAGGUCCCCCACAUUGGUACUGAGACACGGACCAAACUCCUACGGGAGGCAGCAGUGAGGAAUAUUGGUCAAUGGGCGCGAGCCUGAACCAGCCAAGUCGCGUGAGGGAUGAAGGUUCUAUGGAUCGUAAACCUCUUUUAUAAGGGAAUAAAGUGCGGGACGUGUCCCGUUUUGUAUGUACCUUAUGAAUAAGGAUCGGCUAACUCCGUGCCAGCAGCCGCGGUAAUACGGAGGAUCCGAGCGUUAUCCGGAUUUAUUGGGUUUAAAGGGUGCGUAGGCGGCCUUUUAAGUCAGCGGUGAAAGUCUGUGGCUCAACCAUAGAAUUGCCGUUGAAACUGGGGGGCUUGAGUAUGUUUGAGGCAGGCGGAAUGCGUGGUGUAGCGGUGAAAUGCUUAGAUAUCACGCAGAACCCCGAUUGCGAAGGCAGCCUGCCAAGCCAUGACUGACGCUGAUGCACGAAAGCGUGGGGAUCAAACAGGAUUAGAUACCCUGGUAGUCCACGCAGUAAACGAUGAUCACUAGCUGUUUGCGAUACAGUGUAAGCGGCACAGCGAAAGCGUUAAGUGAUCCACCUGGGGAGUACGCCGGCAACGGUGAAACUCAAAGGAAUUGACGGGGGCCCGCACAAGCGGAGGAACAUGUGGUUUAAUUCGAUGAUACGCGAGGAACCUUACCCGGGUUUGAACGCAUUCGGACCGAGGUGGAAACACCUUUUCUAGCAAUAGCCGUUUGCGAGGUGCUGCAUGGUUGUCGUCAGCUCGUGCCGUGAGGUGUCGGCUUAAGUGCCAUAACGAGCGCAACCCUUGCCACUAGUUACUAACAGGUAAAGCUGAGGACUCUGGUGGGACUGCCAGCGUAAGCUGCGAGGAAGGCGGGGAUGACGUCAAAUCAGCACGGCCCUUACAUCCGGGGCGACACACGUGUUACAAUGGCGUGGACAAAGGGAUGCCACCUGGCGACAGGGAGCGAAUCCCCAAACCACGUCUCAGUUCGGAUCGGAGUCUGCAACCCGACUCCGUGAAGCUGGAUUCGCUAGUAAUCGCGCAUCAGCCAUGGCGCGGUGAAUACGUUCCCGGGCCUUGUACACACCGCCCGUCAAGCCAUGGGAGCCGGGGGUACCUGAAGUCCGUAACCGCGAGGAUCGGCCUAGGGUAAAACUGGUGACUGGGGCU